GACGAACGCUGGCGGCGUGCUUAACACAUGCAAGUCGAACGGAAAGGCCCUGCUUUUGUGGGGUGCUCGAGUGGCGAACGGGUGAGUAACACGUGAGUAACCUGCCCUUGACUUUGGGAUAACUUCAGGAAACUGGGGCUAAUACCGGAUAGGAGCUCCUGCUGCAUGGUGGGGGUUGGAAAGUUUCGGCGGUUGGGGAUGGACUCGCGGCUUAUCAGCUUGUUGGUGGGGUAGUGGCUUACCAAGGCUUUGACGGGUAGCCGGCCUGAGAGGGUGACCGGCCACAUUGGGACUGAGAUACGGCCCAGACUCCUACGGGAGGCAGCAGUGGGGAAUAUUGCACAAUGGGCGGAAGCCUGAUGCAGCAACGCCGCGUGCGGGAUGACGGCCUUCGGGUUGUAAACCGCUUUCGCCUGUGACGAAGCGUGAGUGACGGUAAUGGGUAAAGAAGCACCGGCUAACUACGUGCCAGCAGCCGCGGUGAUACGUAGGGUGCGAGCGUUGUCCGGAUUUAUUGGGCGUAAAGGGCUCGUAGGUGGUUGAUCGCGUCGGAAGUGUAAUCUUGGGGCUUAACCCUGAGCGUGCUUUCGAUACGGGUUGACUUGAGGAAGGUAGGGGAGAAUGGAAUUCCUGGUGGAGCGGUGGAAUGCGCAGAUAUCAGGAGGAACACCAGUGGCGAAGGCGGUUCUCUGGGCCUUUCCUGACGCUGAGGAGCGAAAGCGUGGGGAGCGAACAGGCUUAGAUACCCUGGUAGUCCACGCUGUAAACGGUGGGUACUAGGUGUGGGGUCCAUUCCACGGGUUCCGUGCCGUAGCUAACGCUUUAAGUACCCCGCCUGGGGAGUACGGCCGCAAAGCUAAAACUCAAAGGAAUUGACGGGGCCCCGCACAAGCGGCGGAGCAUGCGGAUUAAUUCGAUGCAACGCGUAGAACCUUACCUGGGUUUGACAUGGAUCGGGAGUGCUCAGAGAUGGGUGUGCCUCUUUUGGGGUCGGUUCACAGGUGGUGCAUGGCUGUCGUCAGCUCGUGUCGUGAGAUGUUGGGUUAAGUCCCGCAACGAGCGCAACCCUUGUUCACUGUUGCCAGCACGUUAUGGUGGGGACUCAGUGGAGACCGCCGGGGUCAACUCGGAGGAAGGUGGGGAUGACGUCAAGUCAUCAUGCCCCUUAUGUCCAGGGCUUCACGCAUGCUACAAUGGCUGGUACAGAGAGUGGCGAGCCUGUGAGGGUGAGCGAAUCUCGGAAAGCCGGUCUCAGUUCGGAUUGGGGUCUGCAACUCGACCUCAUGAAGUCGGAGUCGCUAGUAAUCGCAGAUCAGCAACGCUGCGGUGAAUACGUUCCCGGG
rnacentral:rRNA from 1 species